rnacentral:rRNA from 1 species
CCUACGGGUGGCUGCAGUCGAGGAUCUUUCGCAAUGGGCGUAAGCCUGACGAAGCGACGCUGUGUGAGUGAUGAAGGCCUUCGGGUUGUAAAGCUCUUUCGCUUGGGAACAAGAGAGAUUGGUGAAUAACCAGUUGAUUUGAGGGUACCAGGUAAAGAAGCACCGGCUAAUUCCGUGCCAGCAGCUGCGGUAAUACGGAAGGUGCAAGCAUUAAUCGGAAUUAUUGGGCGUAAAGGGCGCGUAGGCGGUUAAGCAAGUCUGAUGUGAAAUUCCAA